rnacentral:rRNA from 1 species
CGAACGGGUGAGUAACACGUGGGUAAUCUGCCCUGCACUCUGGGAUAAGCCUUGGAAACGGGUCUAAUACCGGAUAUCACACUUCUAGGCAUCUAGUGGUGUUGAAAGUUUUGGCGGUGCAGGAUGAACCCGCGGCCUAUCAGCUUGUUGGUGGGGUAGUGGCCUACCAAGGCGACGACGGGUAGCCGGCCUGAGAGGGUGACCGGCCACACUGGGACUGAGACACGGCCCAG